rnacentral:lncRNA from 1 species
GUCCAGGCCCUCCCCUCAGAGAGGCUGUACCAUUGACCUGGGAGAUGUGGGUUGUUUUCUGAUGUCUUUCUCAGGUGACUCAAGUGCAGAGGUGAAACGUGAGAGUCCCUCCUCAAGGAUGUCAGUACAAUCUACUUUAGAAGCUGGCCAUUGAAGAGAGAAGAGUGAUCAUGUUACAUGGCUGGCAUGGAGCACGCAGGCACUCCAGGGCAUACAUGUGCUGAGAAGGUAGGCCAUGUGUGCUACAGAGAGAACCACUGAGGCGCUCAGCAGGAAUACCCUGAGUCUGCUGCACAAAGCAGAAUGCUCACAAGCCAUGUGCUGUGUUUCUAAUUCUGCAGCGGGUUAGAAUGCAGACAGGACUGAGGAGGGCUUCAGAGACCAGCGACUUGGCAAGCAAGUGAGAGAGAAAGAGAAACCAAGCUUUCCUUCCAGUCUAAAUCAAAUCCUUGUGAGUUUAAUGACCUUCACCCAAGACUAUAUGGGGCAUGCAGUCUGCUCUGGAUAUGGUGUUGAUUCUGCCAAAGGAAAAAGGACAUUGAUGCUCUAAUUACUGAUGGAAGACACGGAAAAAACACCUCUUAGCUCUGAACGUAUUUAUCAGUCUUCUCAGCACUGAUUGAAACCUGCCAUUCAGCCUUUGCAUAGCCACCAGGAGCAUUAAAUGGUGUUGAUGCAAGGACUUCAAACACUGAACUGGAAUUUCGAUCAGAUUCUUGAGGCUGCCAAGCCAGUGACAUCAGUGUGCUAUCUGAGUCAUGUGGCACACAACAGACAAUAGUGGUG